CCCUUAGAUGUUCUGGGCCGCACGCGCGCUACACUGAUGCAUUCAACGAGCCUAUCCUUGACCGACAGGUCCGGGUAAUCUUUGAAUCUGCAUCGUGACGGGGAUAGAUUAUUGCAAUUAUUAAUCUUCAACGAGGAAUGCCUAGUAGGCGCAAGUCAUCAGCUUGCGUCGAUUACGUCCCUGCCCUUUGUACACACCGCCCGUCGCUGCCCGGAACUGUGCCGUUUCGAGAAGACUGGGGACUGCGAACUUUGGGCUGGAAAACAGCUUUUUGUUUGUGGAAACCACUUUAAUCGCAGCGGCUUGAACCGGGCAAAAGUCGUAACA
rnacentral:rRNA from 1 species